rnacentral:tRNA from 1 species
GCAGUCAUGGCCGAGUGGUUAAGGCGAUGGAAUAGAAAUCCAUUGGGGUCUCCCCGUACAGGUUCGAAUCCUGUCGACUGCG